AACGAACGCUGGCGGCAUGCCUAACACAUGCAAGUCGAACGAGACCUUCGGGUCUAGUGGCGCACGGGUGCGUAACGCGUGGGAAUCUGCCCUUGGGUUCGGAAUAACAGUUGGAAACGACUGCUAAUACCGGAUGAUGACGUAAGUCCAAAGAUUUAUCGCCCAGGGAUGAGCCCGCGUAGGAUUAGCUAGUUGGUGGGGUAAAGGCCUACCAAGGCGACGAUCCUUAGCUGGUCUGAGAGGAUGAUCAGCCACACUGGGACUGAGACACGGCCCAGACUCCUACGGGAGGCAGCAGUGGGGAAUAUUGGACAAUGGGCGAAAGCCUGAUCCAGCAAUGCCGCGUGAGUGAUGAAGGCCUUAGGGUUGUAAGGCUCUUUUACCCGGGAUGAUAAUGACAGUACCGGGAGAAUAAGCCCCGGCUAACUCCGUG
rnacentral:rRNA from 1 species